CCGUUGACAGAGUGAAGACGCUAAUUAAAACACUGAAAAUUAAUGUCCAUCUGUCACUGU
ensembl:miRNA